rnacentral:tRNA from 1 species
GCAUCGGUGGUUUAGUGGUAAAAUUAGCCGUUGCCAUCCAUUCAAUUGGACAGUAUCGGCUAGCCCCGGGUUCGAUUCCCGGCCGAUGCA